rnacentral:rRNA from 1 species
UAGGGAAUAUUAGAAAUGGGCGAAAGCCUGAUGCAGCAACGCCGCGUGCGCGAUGACGGCCUUCGGGUUGUAAAGCGCUUUUCGGGGAGAUGAGGAAGGACAGUAUCCCCGGAAUAAGGCUCGGCUAACUACGUGCCAGCAGCCGCGGUAACACGUAGGAGCCAAGCGUUAUCCGAAUUCACUGGGCGUAAAGCGCGUGUAGGCGGCUUGGUAAGUUGGAUGUGAAAGCUCCUGGCUCAACUGGGAGAGGACGUUCAAUACUGCCGGGCUAGAGGGCGACAGAGGGAGGUGGAAUUCCCGGUGUAGUGGUGAAAUGCGUAGAUAUCGGGAGGAACACCAGUGGCGAAAGCGGCCUCCUGGGUCGCACCUGACGCUCAGACGCGAAAGCUAGGGGAGCGAACGG